UGGAGGAAAGCAGGGGAUCGUAAGACCUUGCGCUUUUGGAGCGGCCGAUGUCUGAUUAGCUAGUUGGUGGGGUAAUGGCCUACCAAAGCUUCGAUCAGUAGCUGGUCCGAGAGGACGGCCAGCCACACUGGGACUGAGACACGGCCCAGACUCCUACGGGAGGCAGCAGUGGGGAAUUUUGGACAAUGGGCGCAAGCCUGAUCCAGCCAUGCCGCGUGAGUGAAGAAGGCCUUCGGGUUGUAAAGCUCUUUCAGCCGGGAAGAAAAGGCUGCGAUUAAUAAUCGCAGUUCAUGACGGUACCGGAAGAAGAAGCACCGGCUAACUACGUGCCAGCAGCCGCGGUAAUACGUAGGGUGCGAGCGUUAAUCGGAAUUACUGGGCGUAAAGGGUGCGCAGGCGGUUUUGUAAGUCAGAUGUGA
rnacentral:rRNA from 1 species